rnacentral:rRNA from 1 species
GGUUGAUCCUGCCAGUAGUCAUAUGCUUGUCUCAAAGAUUAAGCCAUGCAUGUCUUAGUGUAAAUAACUCUUAUGAAACUGCGAAUGGCUCAUUAAAUCAGUUAUCAAAUACGUGAUGGUCGCCUACUACAUGGAUAACCGUAGUAAUUCUAGAGCUAAUACAUGCACAAAGGCCCACUCACGUGGGUUGUGAUUAUUAGAUUCAAACCGGCCUCGUUCUGGUGAUUCAUAAUAAUUGGUCGAACCGCAUGCCCUUGUGGUGGCGGUGAUUCAUCCUUAUUUCUGCCCUAUC